rnacentral:rRNA from 1 species
AAAGGAAUAGACGGGGGCCCGCACAAGCAGUGGAGUAUGUGGUUUAAUUCGAUGCAACGCGAAGAACCUUACCGGGGCUUGACAUCCCGCGCCAGUCCGAGAGAUCGGAUGUUCCUCUUUUAGAGGACGCGGAGACAGGUGGUGCAUGGUUGUCGUCAGCUCGUGUCGUGAGAUGUUGGGUUAAGUCCCGCAACGAGCGCAACCCCUAUUGCCGGUUGCCAUCAUUAAGUUGGGCACUUUGGCGAGACUGCCGGUGAUAAAUCGGAGGAAGGUGGGGAUGACGUCAAAUCAUCAUGCCCUUUAUGUCCCGGGCUACACACGUACUACAAUGGCCGUUACAACGGGAAGCGAAGUCGCGAGGCGGAGCGGAUCCUUUAAAAGCGGCCCCAGUUCGGAUUGCAGGCUGCAACUCGCCUGCAUGAAGUCGGAAUUGCUAGUAAUGGCAGGUCAGAAUACUGCCGUGAAUACGUUCCCGGGCCUUGUACACACCGCCCGU